rnacentral:rRNA from 1 species
CAGUCGCCGCGGUAAUACGUAGGGUGCAAGCGUUAAUCGGAAUUACUGGGCGUAAAGCGCGCGUAGGCGGUUACUCAAGUCAGAGGUGAAAGCCCGGGGCUCAUCCCCGGAACUGCCUUUGAAACUAGGUAACUAGAAUCUUGGAGAGGUCAGUGGAAUUCCGAGUGUAGAGGUGAAAUUCGUAGAUAUUCGGAGGAACACCAGUGGCGAAGGCGGCUCACUGGUCCAUUACUGACGCUGAGGUGCGAAAGCGUGGGGAGCAAACAGGAUUAGAUACCCCAGUAGUCCCUGUCUCUUAUAC